UGAACAUCAUAUCACACCAACGAAAGCGCGACAGUGUCCCUAGGCGAUACAAUCGUGGGACCAGCAGCGUGGGUUCUGUCCGUCACUGGCGGAAGCUUCGUUAGGUGGCGCAUGACUGUACUUGUUUCAGAAGUCUCUGCUGGGCUGCACCGGAGGCGUCAUGCGGUUCCCUGUGGGACAUAAUACGCUAACUAACAUUUAGGGCGAUCUCGCUAAUGUCAGCGCUUUCCCUCAAAGACCACCAAGAAUACCUCUGUGGCUGGACAAAUUUGGCUUAUUGACUCCUUGCAAAGAGGGAGGCACCUAUAGGAAACAGCAGGACAUCUCAGGGAGAGUGUUGGAAAGAAUUUAGAGUUUGGGCUUCUUGGGUAAUUUGUGGGAGAGUUCAAGGAAGCAGGGCUUCUCUCGGAAUUGGGUGUUUUCAGAAGCAUGGUACCGGCUAUAACCUCCUUGAACUGGCUACUUGAAAGAAGUCUUCCUUCAGAGAUAUCAUGCUUCUUCCAAGAUACAGAAGCCAAAUUAUGGAGUCCACAAAAAAUACUGAGAAAUCUGGAAAUAGCCUACAGGGAUCUUCACUCUGGAUCAUUCUUUCUGUUUAGCACCACCCCAGAUCUUCAACUACCUAAUAGUAAGCUAAAGAUGAUAUUCCUUCAAUUGUAUGCUAAAUUAUGUGUCUUCAUUGACUUUAAAAUAUUAUAUAGUCUCUUCGUUUAACCCAUAAAAUAGCAAGCCUGUAGAGACUGUGACUUAAAGUUAAGUAGUGACAGUACUUGAACUA